rnacentral:piRNA from 1 species
UAACUCAUGUUGUUUUGGAACUC